UACGAUGGGGGCGAGCGUUGUUCGGAAUUAUUGGGCGUAAAGGGUGCGUAGGCGGUUUGGUAAGUCUCGUGUGAAAUCUCCGGGCUCAACUCGGAGCCUGCACGAGAAACUGCCGGGCUUGAGUGUGGGAGAGGUGAGUGGAAUUCCUGGUGUAGCGGUGAAAUGCGUAGAUAUCAGGAGGAACACCUGUGGCGAAAGCGGCUCACUGGACCAUAACUGACGCUGAUGCACGAAAGCUAGGGGAGCAAACAGG
rnacentral:rRNA from 1 species